CCUGGCCAAUGCAAAGGGCACCACCCAGGUGGCGCCAACCGUGAUUGUAGCGAUGGAGGCCUGGGUUGGUUCGUGAGAAAUGGCUGGUGUUUGUCGGCUUCUUCUAGGCUGAUUGGGACUUUUCUUAUCCUCUCCCAAAGUGAAAGCCCCACAGGGGAAAAACCAGAAGCCUUUCGUCUUCAUCCUGGAGCCCAAGAAGCAGGGCGACCCUCCGGUGGAGUUCGCCACUGACAGGGUGGAGGAGCUCUUUGAGUGGUUUCAGAGCAUCCGGCAGAUCACCUGGAAGAUCGACACCAAGGAGAACAACAUGAAGUACUGGGAGAAGAACCAGUCGAUCGCCAUUGAGCUCUCUGACCUGGUUGUCUAUUGCAAACCAACCAGCAAAACCAAGGAUAACUUAGGUAACCUUUCCCCAUGACCCUGUCCCCAUCUGUGGUGAACACUUGUCUUCUCCUGAGUCUGAUGUCAGAGGGCACAGUGAGUGUUUGCCUGCUCAUUCUUAGUUCUCCACUGCUUGGCAGAAGCCUCAGCUCGAG
rnacentral:lncRNA from 1 species